ensembl:lncRNA
UUAAAGGUGCAAUCUGGGAUAUUUGCUGUUUAAUAUUUGGUGGUGGGCUAAUGUUGAGCUUUAACACAAAUCCCAGAUUGUAUCUUUAAGGUCCAAGCUGCCCUAAACUGCUGUUGUCAUGUUCAUUAGGGGACACAAUGGAAAACAUUUAAAUGUUGUGCAAUGGAAAAAGAAAACGGGCAUUUCAUAUUGGACAAGUCCAGGUGGUAGGUGGUAGGUCUAGGUGGUAGGUCCAGGUGGUAGGUGGUAGGUCCAGGUGGUAGGUGGUCGGUCCAGGUGGUAGGUGGUAGGUCCAGGUGGUAGGUGGUAGGUCCAGGUGGUAGGUGGUAGGUCCAGGUGGUAGGUGGUCGGUCCAGGUGGUAGGUGGUAGGUCCAGGUGGUAGGUGGUAGGUCUAGGUGGUAGGUCCAGGUGGUAGGUGGUAGGUCCAGGUGGUAGGUGGUAGGUCCAGGUGGUAGGCUAGUCCCUCACUGUUUAAUUUUUAUUUUAUUUUUUAUUAUUUUUUUUUUUAUCACCUUUAUUUAACCAGGUAGGCCAGUUGAGAACAAGUCCUCAUUUACAACUGUGACCUGGCCAAGAUAAAACAAAGCAGUGCGACACAAACACAGACAGAGAUAAAACAUGGAAUAAACAAACGUACAGUCAAUAACACAAUAGAAAAGUCUAUAUACAGUAUGUGCAAAUUAAGUAAGAUUAGGGAGGUAAG